AAGGGUAUAGCUUAAGUGGUAGAGUGCAUGCUUAGCAUGCAUGAGGUCCUGGGUUCAAUCCCCAGUACCUCCA
rnacentral:tRNA from 1 species